CCCAACGUCCCUCAGGUCUCCCCGCUGCCCUGGCCCCGUGGGAGCGUGUGCACAGUGCCUCCGCAGCCUGGAAGCUUCAGCUAGGCUUGUGUGGCAGGUGGCCUCACUGACAUCCUUGGCUGGAUGGUGGGCAGAAGGAGACUUGCCCUUGAGGGACUGACGUCUGGGUGUCAGGUAGGGGCUCACACAGCGGGCAUUCUCCCUUGUGUGACCCCAUCCAUGGCCUUCUUGGCCGACUCCAUUCCUAGAGCUUCUCUGACACCACCCCCCACACACACACAUACAAUGCCUGACACACACCCCACACACCCCUCUACCUCCUGCCAGCCAGCCCUGGGGGCCUGCAGUGUCCUGGGAAAGCUGUGUUUUCAUAGCCAGGCUGGUUUCCUGCCCCUGGGGACUUGUGCUUCUCACCUGUGCCCCCACGGAGAGGGUCAUGGGGACAGCUCCAGGCUGAGGAAUUGAUCCAGCACCACCGCCCCCUGUGGUGGAGACAGCAAGCCCCUCCCAUGGGUGUCCCCGCCCUCUUCCUGACUCAGUUUUCUCAUCUGUAAAGGCCAUUAUGAGAAUUUACCCAGCUAACACACGCAAAGUGCUUGGGAAAGAGACAGCCACACAGUAAAUGGUGGUUACAGCCCUGUCAACCCAGAAGCGACGUGGGGCAGGCCCUGCGCUCACACAGAUGCCCCCAGGGCCUCUCACCCCUGACUUCUCCCCUCUUUACAUCCGUCUGCUUUACUCUUUCCCAGCUACCGUGGAUCUCCUAGUUCCACAAAACAGAAAGGAAGUUUUCAAAAGAAAGUUGACCAUAAAUAAAACAAAUUUUAAAAACUGAAAGGUGGGGAAGAGAAGCAAAACUGGUGAAUGCACAGGCCUCGGACUGGACAAGCUGCACAGCCCAGCCGUCCUGUGGCCACAUCUGUGCCCCUCGCACGGGUCUGUGUUCUCUUCUGCCCUUGUUUGUUCCAAGGUCACAACCCUUCCUUCCGUGCCUGUCUCUGGGGCUGGGUAGACUGUGCCAGGAGGUUCCAGCUCAGCCACAGCUGGAAGAGACGCUGAGGAUGUCCCAGCCCCUCUCUUGCGGAGAGGCAACAUAGAAACGCAAGCUGCUCUUUGCCUCACUUUGCUCAUUUGCAAGAUGGAUGUACAGUUGGGAUCUCUCAUAGGGCUUUUGCGAUAUAUAAAUGUAGAUGCUUAUGACGUGAAAUUGAAGGUUUGGGAGAUUUUGAA